rnacentral:rRNA from 1 species
GAGUAACGCGUGAGUAACCUGCCUUUCAGAGGGGGAAUAACAUUCUGAAAAGAAUGCUAAUACCGCAUGACAUAUCGGAACCACAUGGUUUUGAUAUCAAAGAUUUUAUCGCUUGAAGAUGGACUCGCGUCCGAUUAGUUAGUUGGUGAGGUAACGGCUCACCAAGACCGCGAUCGGUAGCCGGACUGAGAGGUUGAACGGCCACAUUGGGACUGAGACACGGCCCAGACUCCUACGGGAGGCAGCAUG